CGCCGCGCCCCGCUCUCGCCGCGAGGUGGCGCGCUGCCGCCCGCCCCGAGGUGGGCCGUGCGCGGUGCUGCUGCUCGGGUUGUGGGCUCAGUUGGGCGGGCGGGGUUGUGAGGUGUUCAGCCGGCCUGAGGGAGAAAGGGGGAUUUCCCAAGUUAACGCGCUUUUUAAGUGUGGAAGCACAGAGGUGAAGGGGCGUCACGAGGCGGUGUGAAGAGUUUGUGGAAGGGUUGAUCCAAAUCUCACUGUAUCCCUCUCCAAGAUGAUCGGGCCCAGUGCUGGCAGGACCUGCAGCAGACUGGGGGAUUGCAGCAUACAUGUGUGAGGACUUCCUGCACCAGGGGCACCCCAGGGGAGUGCAGAGACCCACUGGGAGCUGGCGGUUCUGGUGAGAAGAACUGAGAAGACUCCAGUGGGGCCAGGAGCAGUGGCCAUCGUUCUCUGCGUGUGCAGAAGACAGCCCCAGGGACUGUGGCGAUCGGCACAUAGCGGGUCUGAUAGAGCCAAACAACUUUUAUCUAAUUCUGCUCAUUCAAGCUGGAUCACAGAAGGCUUUAACAAGGAGACUGAAAAACAUUAAAAGGGACUUUACAUCUCUUGGAAGGAUGUAGAAGAGAUUGGGAGUGUAAGUAGUGUUGUCCUCUGUCCUUCUGAUGGAGGCUGGCACCUGGGAAGGAGGAGAACAGGACAAGCGAAUGAUUGGCUGUGUGGAUGGUGCUAUACAUGGGGCUGUGGCUUCCAUGAUCUUCGACAGGCCUUUGAGGUGCUGAGCAUGUUGACUUCAAAUGAGACACAACUGACUGGGUGGGACAAGAAUGUUCUGGGAAACAAGCUGUCUGGGCUGAUCAGCAGAACUUAAAACUAGAUUCGAUGGGGAAAGGAGGUGGAUUUCAAAAUGACAAAGGAAGACUGGGGAACGCUGUCACUUUAGGAGGCAGUGGAGAUGGACUUCAGAUUUGUCCCCAGGGAACUCAGGAGGGCUCCCUGAAGAAGCUAAUACUGCUGAUUGUCUGGAUGAUGUGCCUCUAUACCAAUGCCAGCAGCAUGGGAAAUAAUCAGGAGGAGCUGGAAGACAUGGCACAACGGAAAAACUUACCUAGUUGCUAUCAAGGAAAUGUGGAAUGAAUUGCACAGCUGGAGCACAGUGAUCAAGGCCUGCAAGCUUUUUAGGGGAAAUACAGAGGGAUGGAGGGGCAGGGGAGUUGCUCUCUGCGUUAAGAAGUGGAUAGAUUGCAAAGAGCUGCCUUUGAAAAACAGCCAUGAUCAGAUGGAGAGCUUGUGGGCAACAGCAGGAACUGGUCCAUUGAAGGCCAUCUGGUGAUUGGGGUCUACUACAGGUUGCCUGAUCAAGGGGAGCUUGAGCACAAGGCCUUCUUGCUACAAAAGGCUCUCAUCCUGAUGGGAGAUUUCAACCACUCAGAUGUCUGCUGGGGAAACAACAUGAUGGGCUGCAAGUGAUUCAGGAGACUCCUGAAGUGCAUGGAUGAAUAUCAGGGACUGGUCCAACAAAGGACAUCUGAUGUUAAGGGGUCUACUGCAGGCUGUGUGAUCAAGGGUAGCCUGUGGAUAAGGCCUUCUUGCUUCAGAUACAGGAAGCAUUGUAUUCACAGGCUUUCAUCCUCAUGGGGAAUUUCAGCCAUCCAGAUGUCUGCUGGGAAAGAAGCACAGUGGGUUGCAGACAAUCCAGGAGACUCUUGAAGUGUGUUGAUGAUAACUUCCUGGUCCGGGUAUUAUACAAAUUGACCUGAGGGGAAGCAUUAAUAGAUCUGGUGCUCACCAGUGUAGAGGAGAUCAUUGAGGAGGUUAAGAUAGAAGGCAGUCUGGGCUAUAUUGACCAUGCCUUGGUUGAAUUUGUGAUCUUGAGGAAUAUGGGCCUGGAGAAAAGCAAACUCAGGGCCUGAACUUGAGGAGAGUGAACUUCUGGCAGUUUAAGGAAUUGUUAGAUGAGAUCCCUUGGAAAGCUGUUGGAGUAGAGCUGGCAGCUCUUUUAAGGACACGUUUUUGAAAUCACAAGAACUCAGUAUAGGAAAACAAGCAGAGAAAGCAGGAGACUGGUAGGGCUAAGCAAGGACCUACUGGUCAAACUAAGGGAAAACAGGAACUCUCUCUUGAACUGUCUUUCUUGAACAGGGGUGCCAAAAUCUGCACACAGUACUGCAGAAUUGGCCUCACCAGAGCAGAGUAGAGGGGGAGGAUCACCUCCCUUGACCUGCUCACCACACUCUUUUUAAAGCACCCCAGGAUACUGUUAGCCUUCUGUGUCACAAGGGCACACUGCUGGACUAUGAUCAAGCUGCUGUUCACCAGUACACUCACAUCCUUCUCUGCAGAGUUCCUUUCUAUCAGAUCAGCCCCUAAUCUGUACUAGUGUGUAGAGUUAUUUCUCCCCAUGUGUAGGACUCUACACUUGCCCUUGUUGAACCUCAUAAGGUUCCUUUCUGCACAACUGUCCAGCCUGUCCAGGUCUCACAGAAUAGCAACACAGCCUUCUGGUGUAUCAGCCACUCCUAGCUUUGUAUCACCAGCAAACUUGCUGAGGGUGCACUUUAUCCCUUCAUCUAUGUCCCUUAUGAAGAUGUUAAACAAGACCAGAUGCAGUUCUGACUCCCGGGGAACACUGUUAGCUACAGGUUUCCAACUAAGACUCUGUCACUGAUCACAACUCUCUGAGCUGUACCAGUAAGCCAGUUCUCAAUCCACCUCACUGUCCAUUCAUCUGUCCCACAGUUCCUAAGCUUACCUAUGAGGAUGUAGUGGAAGACAGCAUCAAAAGCCUCGAUGAUGUCAAAGUUGACAACAUCCGGUGUUCUCUGCUCAUCUAUCCAGCUGGUCAUGGCAUCAUAUAAGGCUACCAGACUGAUCAAGCAUAAUUUCCCCUUGGAGAAUCCAUGCUCACUACUCCCGAUGACUUUCUUCUCUUCCACUUAGAAAGGCUUGGAUUCCAUGCUUGAAGAUGACAUCCAGAGGGGAGAUGUUGCCAAACGGCAGGAGUAUUCAAACUGGAGGAAACUUUGGGUUUCAUGGACGAAAACAAUGAAUGAUCCAAGGAUCACCGAGGAGACGGCUCGCUGUGGUUUUGGGAUAGCCAAGAACAACUGAGCAGAGAGCGGCAUUUCUGGGAAGAGGCAUCAGAAACUACAACAGAUACGAAGAGCUUGAUUCUCAAGAUAAUUCCUCUUCACUUGAUGAAUCCCAGGCAAGCCAAAAGGUUGGACAACCAAGAUAUGUCACCGCAUGGACCUUGCCCACAUCACUCUCCAUUUACACCUCUGAACAUGAGAGGGGAGUGUAUCCCAUUUAGGCCACCUUCACUGGACCUGAAGUAAGGUGAGAGAGUCUGUGGGCUCUUCAUGCCCCUGCCAGAAACGUGCCUUCUAACUGGUCUCUUGAUGCCUCACCUGCAGCUGAGGCACCUGCCGCUGAGCACCUGGAGAUGCAUUCCGGCCAAGAGACUGAACAUCCAAAACUAUCCAUUAGCAUUUUCCAUGAAGAGAUAAGCUCUGCUCUCUGUUGGAGUUUCACUGUAGUAGCUAGGGGUUUGGGAGACCUGGCUUUGUUUCUGGCUCUGUCAUUCAUCUUCUGCAUGGCCUUGGCAAGUCCUUUCUCUUUUCUGUGCCUGCCUUUGCCCACAUACUCCUCUUCUGAACUAAUGGCGGUACUGUGGCUGUUUGAAUCUGUGUUGUGUGAGUAAAUAAACAGUAACUGUAGAAAGGUUUGAUUUUUUUAAAAAGAUGCUGCUUGGCAAGAUCUAACGUUAACCGAAGAUGGAAAAGGUGUGGUAUCUUGAAGUUUUUCCACCUCUACUCUCUGCUUACCUUCAGUGGAAAGUUGAUUUUCAUCAGCUGAGGAACAGAAACGAGUCCCAGCCUGCUAGCACAACCACAGUGUUAGUUAGGAAUAGUCUGAAACACAUGCAGGGAGUGAAAAUAAACCCCAGCUUAUCUGUACACUGACUUUAGACAAUAAGAGUAGCUGUGGACCAGACAUCUACUGAAAGGUGUCCUGGAGCAGAAGGCAAAGUUUCCCUUCUAAACAGCUUACUUUUGCCAUCCAGGUCCUGGAAACACUCAGCUAUUUGUAAGCAUAGAAUUUUCUCUGCAAAACACUGAUGCUUUGGGGUAGGCUGAGUACUCUGCAUUGAAAUCCAGGAUACAAUGCAGUCAGUGGGUGGCCCCAGACAACUUUGAAUGGGCUUUGGAAUAGGGCCCAAGCAUAUCACAAAGAAAGGGAGAAGGAAGCUUUGCUUUAGCCAAAUCUCUGAGCAUGUGCUUCACCACUGAAAUUAGUAAGAAUUAAGCAUAUACUUAAGUAUUCUGCUGACACUUACCUUAACCACCGAGUAACAAAUACUGUCUUGCAGAGACUCUGCUUAAAAGAGAAAAAUGCCUUUUACGUGUCAAAGAGGGACAUAACAUUUAAAAUGGCAUUUCAAAUUUCUUUUAUUUUUUAGUGACAUAGCAAAAGCAGUAUUUGGCCCUGUGCUGCUUGGAACGAGGACAUUUCAAAUUAUUACCAACUGCAGCUUCUCUCUGCAUCAUUUUGCAUUAUGCAGUUUAAUGGCUGCCUGCUAGAAAGGCAUCUUCUCUGCUUCAGUCAUCUAACAGGAUUUUUGGCAUCCAGCUCAUCAGAUGGGUUAUUUUCUUUAACCAUAUUCCUGUAGGACUGCAUCUUUUAAGCAUCCUGCUGCGUUAUUUUGGCACAACCUUUAUAUCUUUUCAUCUUAUUGUUUCUGGAAUUCCUUUUCUCUUUGUAUCAAGUGAUGUUGCUGUGUGUGCUUUUUCUAACAAAUCUUGGUGGAAGAUCAGAAAAACAAACAAAAAAAAAGGCUAAUGUAUCCUAAGGAUUGAUAAUUUCAGGGUCAAAACAGAUUUUAAGUGCUGAUCUUCUUGCACCCGCUGAUGAAUCUUUCCGACCAAGAAGCUGGUGUAUCGUAUCUAGCUGGCAGCACACAGAACACAUUAGGAAAACAAAGAGAAUGUGAGAUUAAGCCGAAAACAGGCAAGAGAGGCAUUUUCUCACUGUUCUGCAUGAAGGCAGAAGAUGCUUCAAGAGGAUACAACCUCGGUUUUCUUGUUGGAACUAUGGCCUCUUCCCCCCAUCAGAUUAUUCAAAGGCAACAUCACUGAAGUCAAGUGAGAACAGGACACUGCUGAAGUAAUUACGAAGAAUUUGCCUACUCCAUCUUGACCGUCUGAGGGCAGUGUCACCUAAUAAUUGCUAAAGGAGAUAUGCCUGGUCACUGCAUACUGUCUGCACUGCAUUCACCCUCUGAAGAUGCCAUCCAAAACUCAGAGAUAUCAAAGAGAGCCUUUUCACAGAUCUUACCUGCAUCUUGGACUUUGGUAUAUUGGGCUCACUCUUCUGGGCCACAGUGCUUACUGAUAUAAACCUUUACUGGCACUGAAUCCAGUUUGAGAUAUAGAUCUGAAACAAGAUGCGACCAUGAAAGACCUCUCACACAAGUCCAGUGUAGGUUUCUACAAAAUGAGGUUGAAAGUAAAUGAUCUUUAUAUUCCCGUCCAACCUAAACUGUUUCAUGACCCUGUAAAAUGCUUUUUGCAUGAAGCUAUUUAUGCCUGGCUAGAACAUGACUGACAUGACUAUCCAGUUGUGUUCUAAGGACUUCAAGAGAUAAAGAACCUACAGCAGACUGGUAAGCUGUUCCAUGGGCAAUCAAGCUCCCUGUCAAGAACAUCCACCUUGCCCUAGGUAUGUUAAGCAGUUAUUCCACCUGGAACUGUUCUGCCUGGAGAACAGAAGGUUGAGAAGAGAUCACAUCACUGUUUAUAACUACCUGAAGUGUGGGAGUGAAGUCGAGGAAGAAUGACUCUUUUCAGUGGUGCACUGUGAAAGAGCAAAGGGCAACAAGUGAAGACUGGGACACAGAAAGCUCCAUACAAACACAAGGAAAAGCUUCUUUACUGUGAGAAUGACAGAGCACUGGAACAGGCUGCUCAGGGAGACUGUGGACUCUCCUUCGCUGAAGAUGUUCAGAACCUGCCUGGACACUUCCCUGUGCAACCCUACAGGAGAGAACCUGCUUUAGCAGGGGGUGAGACUAGAUCAUCUCCAAAGGUUCUUUUCAGUCCCCACAGUUAUGUGAUUCUGUGAUUCUGUGAUAAGCUCCUCUUUAAACUGUAGUAGGAACCAUUGUGAUAUGAGUUCUGGUGGGAAAUGUCAUAACAAGUUGAUUUUGAGGAUACAAAAAAAAAAAAAAAAAAAAAAGAAAAGAAGAGAAAAAGGAAUGAAAAAGAAAAAUCUCUUGAUUCUUCUCUAGGAGCAAAGGUACUUUGCAGCAAAGAUCUUGAUUUGUAUCAAAAAUUAGGUAAAGGGAAAAAGAUAGAUUUGGCAGAGAGCUGUUAAGAGCUCAAAAGCAAUGAUGGUUAGCACAGUAACCCCAGUGUGGUAGUGCUGAUCAUUCUGAACCUGUUAUCAACUUGAAGCAUUAAAUGUAAAAGAUUUUCCAGAUGACUAGUGUUGGGGAAGCUGGACAUUGUCAGAAGUACAGUGGUAAAUACAGAUGGGUGGAAACAUUCAGAUACAAACAAUUAAUCAUCAGUCCCUCAGAUAAGCGCUAGUCUUCAGGCACUGGUAACUAGCACUGAGCAGUCAGGUCAAUCCCAAACCCACUGGAGAACAAUUUUGGAAAUAUAGAAAGCUGGAAAUUUGGUGUCUGGUGAGUGGGAAGUUGGCUCAACUCCUUCUCCUCUUUCAUGCAUUUUUAAAAAUCAUGUGAAAACGCUUGCAAUAAUGAACCAAGAUCAGAAACAUCUGGUUUCAGCAGAAGUGAGGGAGUUGUGCCACUUUGUCCAGAACAGUUACUAAACUACAACUCAUCCUGCAAGUCCCCUUUAAAAUCCACUGGAUUUCCCCCCUGCUAUAGAUUCCUCUCUGGGGAGCCUUCCAGCCACUGCUCAUUUUGGCAUGCAGUUCUCCUGUCUGCUCACUUUCCCUGUCCAGUCUUUCUUCUCUCCGGCCCAAGCCACCUACAAGCUCCUGUGAGGAAAGGGCUAACUGCUCAGCCCUGCCCUGCAUGGAAAGAGCUUGCUGGAAGCUGUUCUCCUGAAAGACAGGCACCUAUUGCUUUGUCUCUGCCAGACCUGUAAACACCAGACUGAACACUUUCUCGGGAUGUAUCAGAAGCAACAAACUGACUGUGUGACAGAAACACCCAGGGCCCUGUUUUGAUCUCUGGAGGAGAGCAGGGACCCUUGGAACACAAACAGAGGCCUCGAGGCAGCCCAGGGAUGUGCCUGUCCAGCACCAGGAGCUCUGUGCGUGGGAAUGCAGGGAGGAUUGUGGAGGACUGGUGUAAUUAUAAGAAUUGAUGGGUCUGCGGAGCAUUUUUUGGAAAUUGUACAUGAACUGCUGCAGAUUUUAAUCAGGGUGUCUCUCUUCCUCUCAUUUACCUUCCUCAUGGAGGAGAGGUCUCCUGGCCAUGAUUAAACUUCAGUAAAGCUUUGUAAACCUGCCUUUGGGUCAUGUUUCUUCCUCAGUCACAGCAAGUCCCCUGUCCCUUUUAAAAAACUCAGAUUGUACUGGUUUUUCUUGCUUAGUUUUCCACAUUCUACUGUGUUCAUCUUUUCUCUGCCUUCUCUAACAUCAGUUCUCUCAUGACAGAACCUCUUCUCUCUGUGUGUGUUUAUGGCCCUAUAUCUUCUUCACUUUUGGCUGGAGGGAUGAAGAGCUGCCUGCUGCUUGGACAAAGCAAAAAUUGAAGCUGUUCUCCUUGGGCUUCAUGGCUACUUAGGGCUCUGACUUGCAUGAGCUUCAGCCACUUAGAAAAAGCACUACUUUCAGACUGAAAGCUCAGAAACUGAAGAGUUUUUAACCUCAUUACCUUGAGUAAUGAUCCACACCAGUCAUAAAAAAGGAGAAAGCUGGAGAAAACCUGAGGUGGUGAUAUCCUUAAAGCAGAUGAUUUUAUUUUUUGAAGAAAGAAAAUAAAAAAUGAUGAUGAAACAUUUUCCUGAAGAACAAAUCGAAACACUUCGUGCAGUGUUACCUGUUCACAGAAUAGGAUUUGUGUACCAAGAUGAAUCACUGCACUCUUGGGACUGGAUGACGUUUUUCUUGCAGAUUUUCAUACUGCCUGGAAGAGAAAGAGAAGAAGGUGGAAGCAUGUGAUGGGCAGAGGCCAUUGGCAUGAGAGAGAGCAGGCUGAGACUUCAUGCUGGAGAUGGACAAGACCAAAACAUUUCUCCUGUGUCAGCCAAAGAGAGUUUCAAACCUAAAGCUGUUUGCAGAAUGAAGCCGUGAGCUGGCCAGAUGGAAACAAGACUCCACUGCACGGUACAUGGAAAAAACAAGUUCAUCAUGUUCUGUCUUCACUCUGAGACAUUCUUGGCAACUUCAGCCACAUCCUGGAAAGAGUGGAGGAGAGGAAGAGCAGAGGGGAGCCAGCAGGCAAAUGGGGUUAUGGGGUUUGGUUUGUAAAGUGCUUAGGAAAGCUGUUCAGCUUCAAGGAAAAUAUCUGAUUGCUGAGACAGGGCGUACUGGAUAAUUAUUUUUUGAAUGUCCUCGCCAUUUUUCAGUAUUUUACCACUGUUUUCUUUCUGUAGAGUGCAGCAGCAGUCAUCCUUCCUGGGCAAUAGCAUAAUUGUUUCAGCUAGAACUGUUUUCUUCUUAUGUGGCAGGGAUGUCUACAUAAACAGUUAGGGCACAGAACUGCUUUUAUGACUGCUCUAAUGCCAGAAGGUGAAACACAAUAAACUGAAUUUUCGAUAUUGCAGGUCUUUGUUUUUAUUGUUGUUUUUACAUAUAGUCUCACCAAAAAUAGCUUUGGUUCAUUCGUCAUUUCCUUUUUUGGUUGACACACAGCAUUUAGCUAUUCAGUUCUCUGAUGUUCCAUUAAAUAGCCAGACAAUUUUUAAAAUAAAUGUUCCCUUAGAGUUGCAUAUUUUUCCUUCAUUUCUGGGUCUGGGAAAUAGAAAGAGACCUCAGAAACAGCUGAAGUUUAUUUUAGAAGCUGAAAUAUGUUUGGCAUUCUUUUCUCCUUGUACUACACUAUUGUUUUCUUCAUUUUGUUGUCUCAGAGUUGUUGUCAGAUGUGAUUUUUAAGGGUGUAUUUUGGAUUGUCAGGAUUUUUAAAGCACCUUUUUUUUUUUUGAUCAUAGGAAUCAGAAUCCAUUUACUGCCAUGUGACUAAUGUUCGUCUGCACUGCUGAACUAGACAGUCACUACAAUGUCCGAGCUAAACCAUCCUCUUCUUUCUCUUGUCUCAUUUCUCUGUUGUUUCCCUGCUUGCCUGGGGAGAUUGUGCUUAUGCAGGCUCAGCCUCUGUCUGUCACUUUGGUGACUCUUGAACUACUUAAUUUAAGUCAGUUUCGAAAGUAGUCAGGAGGGAGGUUCUUGCACAUUUCAAGAAAGAAGGUAUAUUAACAGACAGGCACACUGACAGUACUGGCCAAACUCCCAAGUCCUUAUGCACAUCCCAUGCUGAUUCAAGUAUGAAGAACGAAUGCUCUGCUCAGAGCUGGAUCCCACCUUCAUUUGGGGCUGCUGGAGAUGCAACACUGAUGGCCACACAUUUUGCCCUGUGCCAUCAUUGCAGUUACCCUUUCCUACCUUGGGUUGUUGUGACUGCAGAGUAGAAGUGCAGAAGGAGAGGAGCUUUUGGGGAGAAAAAGCGGAACUACACCAGCUGGCAUCAUGAUUGAAUGAGUGACCUCACUGUCCACUGCAUCUGUGCCAGCUUUUGAACCACUGGCAGGCGUAAUGAGCUUCCCUCUUGGAGCAGACAGGUGCCACCUGAAGUAGCUGGAAGAAUCAUUUGACAUUACAAGGAGCUUUUUAAAAAAGGGAAGAGAACGUCUAUCUAGAAAGCUGCUCAGUGUGCAUAUAUAUGAUAGAAAAGAUAGAGCCGGUUUGAAUCAGAACACAACACUAUGCAUACCUUUGGUAUAAGGUCACUAUUACACUAAUACAUCUUCAUGUGAGGCUCAGGUAGCUGGAGUUCACAUACUGGAGGUUACCAAUGCAUCUCAGAACUCGGGAGGGAGUUUUAAAUGGACUCUGAACUCUGCUCCCCCAGGUUCCCUGAUGCAUUUAAAGCAACAUAUCCUUGUGUGAAUGGGUCGUGCUGCUGUGCAACCAUUGGAGUUUGGAAAAGCCGUGCUGAGCUGCAUAAAACCUGGGUGUUUACUUUCCGACUCUGCUGUAUUAGGCACCUCAAUCUGAUGGGCCAGCAGGUUAGGUGGUAUGGAUCCUGCUUUCUUAGUUCAAACAGAUUUUUGCAGGCUAUUAAUAGAUACUGAUGCAAGCAUGCAUCUGCAAUGUGCUCAUAUGCUGUUGCAGGUGUGUGUGGGGGUGCCCGGCUGCACAGACACGAAAGCACUGCUGAAGGCAUUACUGCAGGUUUGGGUGAAAUGUGUGUAAUUACAGGCAAUUUCCUUUGCUGCUCUCAGGUCUAUGCCUUUGCAUGGAUUUAAGGGUCUUAAAAAGCCUCUGAAGUCCUGACAAAAAGCCUCUAAAGUCCUGACAAAAAGCCUCUGAAGUCCUGACUCAUCCCCUGAUCCCAAAGCGUAUUUAAUAAAAGGAAGUCAGUGUACACUUGCACGGCUCCAGGUGCGGCUGGCAGGGUGCUAUCUGCCCAGAAGGUUGUAUUUAUUCCCGAAGAGUAGGAAUAAGCUGUAACGUUUCUACCCAACCAUUUUUCUUAUGUUAGACAUCAUCAGCAAUAAGAACAAGAGGGGCUGAAGAAGCAAUGAGAUGCGAUUAUUUCUGAUAUUCUUGCUGAGGUUUUAUGCUGUGCUUUUUAGUCUUGAUUAUAUACCUCAAGGCAGGAAAACAGUUGAAGCAGAUUUUAUGUAUCAGUUUAGAUUAUUUCCUUGGCCCUAUUACUAUUUUCUUUAGAGAAAAUUAAAAAGGAAAAAGAAUAUUUUUAGGGCCUCUCAUUUUAGCAGGCAGCCCCUCUUACUAAAAUGUUCUUACCUGCUGUGUUUUUUGAAUGUUUGGCAUUUAUUGCUAGAAAUGUUACCAUUUAUUUUUUUAUUCUGAAUCCCUCUUGGUGCAAAACUCAAAGCGCAUCCUAUUUAUUGUACAGUUUUGAACAGAUAUAAACACAGAUUCAUGGUUUCAUAGCUUCAUACGUGAAGCUGAAUGUCAUUUUUCUGAGGAAUGCUCUUUUGUGUAUCACAAGAGUUAAUUUAGCCCUGCCAUUUUUAGUGUGGUUGAGGUACUUCAAUUUGAUAAAUGCGUAAUGGAUUGAGACACUCGCAGACUUUUCCUUCAGUUUUCUGUCAGCUCAUGACCAAAAAGGCAAAAAACAUGACAAAAACAUUAUAAAAAAUAUUUUUCUGGGGUUGGUGGAGUUUUGCUGUUGAAAACCUGGAAUAAUACAUUAUUGAUCAGUUUGGUCUUCAGGAAAUUCUGUAUAUCAAGGGAAAAUAAAAAUGAGAUUUCUCUCACAGGAAUACCAGUUAGACUACUUUGUUAGCAACUUUAGCAUAUAUUGAAAAAGAAAAGUAUGAAUCAACCAGUAGUUCUUUUUAGCUAUAAAGUAAUUUAAUUUUUAUUUAAAAAAAUAUCUUUAUUGGGUCAGUGGAAAAGUAAGACAAAAUAAGAAGUAGAUUGGGACUCAGAUUUAAACUUACAGUAAGAAUAAGCAAUGAAAAAAAGAGAAAAAUAUAAGCUAUGGACCAGAGGCACCCAAACAGGGGCAAACUGCACUUGUGGAAGGCAAUGAUCAGGAAAACCAGAGCAUGAGAGCACUCUGGCCAGCGUAACCUGGAUUUACAGAUUCAUCUCUUACUGAGGUGGGGGGACCUCCUUGUGUUCUGCAUUUCUUACUCCAUAUUCGGUAUAGUAAAGGAUGAAAUAAUUCAAAUGUGUCAGCUUUGGAUUUCUACAGAAUCCCAGUUAUCAGAUAUAAAAUAAAAAACACAGGUGGGAUUACUUAUACAUGACAUUGGCUGAUAGCUCUGUGGCCCACUUCUAUAGAGAGAAAUAUCCGAUUAAAUUGAAAUGUGCUCGGUAGAGAGAAAUGCCUUCCAUUUUCAUCCUUGAAUCAAUCCACUUACACUGAGAAUAAAAGACGUGAAGAAACAAUCCCUAGGUAAAUUACAGCAGCAGAGGUUGAUGCUCUCUUUUUGAUCCUUCACACAGUUGCUGGUUUCCUCUGCACAGCGAACAGCGGCACUUGGGAAGCAGUAAACAGCUCAGGCUGCCUGACAGUAACCUGAGGCUCCAUCCUGCAGAACAGAAAAUGAAAGGGAAUUCAAAGAGAAUGAAGGGUACAGCACAGGGGAAAGCUACUUAGUAAAUGUUUGUAAUUGGGACCAUUCUGGAACGUGCAUAAGCAUGCUAGAAAAUCAAUAUAACCUCUGGGAUCCUCAUCCUUUCAGACAAGAGCUUGAAAAUUCAUUUUGUGCUCAAGAUGUCCCUACCACAAACAUAUCUUUAGAUACGGGAAAAGAGUUGGAAGAGUAUAGAAUAACAGAUGACAAGUACACAAUAGUGAUAAAUGAGAGUGAAAAAAAGAAGCAAUACGAAGAUUGUACUUAAAACCCACACUGUUAAUUGGAAUCAAGUUAUAGUGCUUUCCUUCUUGGAAAAAGAAUAAUAAUUUUUCUUCAGCUUUGGCAGAAGAACAGCAUGCAUAAGAGCAAAUAAUAUUUGAAAGUUGAACAAGCCGACAUGGCACCAAGUGAGAUAAAUGCUUAUCUCAUAAUCAUUAGCUCCUGGCCUAGCAACUGCUUUGCGUUGCCAAAAAUUCAGAGUUGGAGGAGAAUUGCAUAGACUAAAAAUAAUAGUUCCAAGGAGCAGCAUCAGAAAAUAGUUGCAACUGUAUUCUUCUGUGAUCUUUGAAGUAUUAUGAAAACAAAGAAACAAGUAACAUCUCAUUCUGGUGCUUCUAAAUCAUAGUUUUGGAGCGAUAGCUUUUAUUUUUUACUACAGAAGUGGCUAACGCACAUGUUAUUCAUAAACCAAGUGUCUGCUUCUGUUGGAUAGCCUUUUCCAUCAUUACCUGUCUGAACAAAAAAUCCCUGCUGUUCCUAGAAGGGGGGGAAAGUGGUCACAGCAGCUUCUAGACAGCAGAUCAAAAAUACUCUGGACUCCUGCCUCAGCAUGAAGCUGAUCUGCUAUGUUAAGCCAUCUAUUUAGCAAGAUAACCAUCUGUCCAGAGUAGGCUUGGUGAGGUAAUGGUUUUAUUAAUUUCUUAUAAUAAGUAAGAUGAGCAGAUGAGGCUGCCUGUAGCAUUCAGAUAGGAGAAUAUGACCUUUACAAAAUUAUCUGCUUUCAUUUCUGAUGCAAAACAUUAUGUUUUUCAGUGUAUCAGAGGUGUUACUGGGUGAUUUUUGCCAGGGCUUUUAAGUGGGCACGAGAAAACACGAGGGUGAUGAGUCUGAAUUUGUUUUCACGUCUGCAGAUUAGACGUUUUCUAAUCACCAAGGCUGAAGCAAGAGAAAAAUAUCUCCUCCCAACUUGUAUUUCUCUACACUGAAGGUCAGUGAUUGCAGUUCACAUGUUGUUCUAACUUUGCCAGACAAAACAAAACUUUUAUAAAGCUACUUGCUCUUGAUUAGCAUUAGCUUUCCUUGUUUGUUUGUUGCUACCAACUCCGCUUAAAAAUGGUGAUCUUUCUUGUAGCCGAAUUUCCUCCUUAGAUUUCCACUGACUAGUUUUUCCAUUGCACUUCUAUUUGAACACAGAAGGGCCUCUAGGACUCAGCAUUUUCACUACCUAAAGAAGCCACAGGGAAUGUCACUUUGCACACUUCAGUGUGCAAACAAGACUCCUGAAGUCUCCCGGUACUUUUCUUCUUUCAGCCCUGAAAUCAUUUAUACAGCCUUUACCUUCAAUAUAUUGAGAACAUCAGCAUCUUUUUAUAAAUGUGAAUGCCAAAAGUGCACAGAACAGCACUUUGAGCAAUGACUUCUAUAUUCAUGGGGAAAAAAAAAUCAUAGAAAAAAAAAGUAUUUUGGAACAGAUUUUAGCAUAAAUUCCGUCACCAGUAUAACCAAUAGCUAAGUAAUGCAAGUGAAGGAAAAAGAGCUUGUACCUUUAAGAUGCAGUGUUUAUGUGGUAUGAUGAUAAAUCACGAACAGCACCUAUUAUACAUAAAUUGUGGAAAAUGUUGAAAGUGUUGCUACCAAAUAGACUAAAAUAUUUUAUGGGUUAUCUCUUCCUUUUAUGUGCAAAAAGAAGGUCUAAUUACAUUGUCCAUCAACUCUGAGGAUUAUUUCACGGAUAUGUCUGCAGGUCCCUGCAGUCUUCUGUGUGGAACAGACAGUCCAGACAUGCUUGGUAACAUGUAUUUUGUGUAUGUGUGUGUGUGUUCACUUUACCACCAUCACUUAGCCCUGCUGAGCUUUUCAGGUUAAACAAUUUGCCAUUACAUUUUACUCCUCUGCACUUCCACUAGAUUUGCAAAGAUCUGGGAGAUUUGACUAGUGUUAGUCCAUUGCUUGCUAAGCGUUCUCAUCAUCCUCAAAACAUCUGAUUAUUAAGCAAUUACUACCAGCAAUUAACUUAGCUGAAUAAACAAACAAGGGAGGACAGCAUGCAAACUGCUGCCUGUAUGCUUCAGCUCGUGGCACUUCUCCAUUUUGUCUUCUUUCUCCAUCAGAGAUGUGUGCCACAUAUUGUGCUGGGAAAAAAACAAACUCAGAUACAACUGCCCUAGGUGAGAAGCAGGCACUGACAUACACUGAACUUGAGGGAGAGGGAUGUCCACUCAGCCUUUAAAGAUCUCAGCAGGUUGCUCCUGACAGACUGCCUUCUAAAGGAGACUGACCCGAGACGUGUGGCAUCAUUAAAUUGGGAAUGAUGCUGGACAUGCACUGCAACCACACAAGUGAAAGUGUGCGGCAUGCAAGCUACCUGGGGCUCUGCGAACUCCCCUGCCACAGUGCUGCAAGUGGAGCUGGUGAAUCAGCAAGAUAUACCUUGGUGAAAUUUCAAACAUUAUUC
ensembl:lncRNA